AUAUCAAUAAGCGGAGGAAAAGAAACUAACAAGGAUUCCCCUAGUAACGGCGAGUGAAGCGGGAUGAGCUCAAAUUUAAAAUCUGGUGUCUUUCAGUCGCCCGAGUUGUAAUCUAGAGACGUGUUUUCUGUGCUGGGCCUAUUGUAAGUUACCUUGAACGGUACAUCAUAGAGGGUGAGAAUCCCGUCUACAAAAGGACUGCCAGUGCUCUGUGAUGCGCGCUCAACGAGUCGAGUUGUUUGGGAAUGCAGCUCAAAUUGGGAGGUAAAUUCCUUCUAAAGCUAAAUACAUUGGAAUGACCGAUAGCGAACAAGUACCGUGAGGGAAAGAUGAAAAGCACUUUGGAAAGAGAGUUAAACAGUACGUGAAAUUGUUGGUAGGGAAACGCUUGAAGUCAGUCGCGUCUUCUUGGACUCAGCCUUGCUUCUGCUUGGUGCAUUUCCUAGUUGACGGGUCAGCGUUCAUUUCGAUCGUUGGAAAAGAGCAGAUUGAAUGUGGCAGUUUCGGCUGUGUUAUAGCUUUCUGUUGUAUACAUCGGUUGGGAUGGAUCUUACAGCAUGCUUUUAGUGGUGCUUUUGCUGACGAAAUGCCUUUAAACGACCCGUCUUGAAACACGGACCAAGGAGUCUAUCAUACCUGCGAGUCUUUGGGUGGUAAACCCAUGGGCGAAAUGAAAGUGAUAGUCGGGAAUCUUUCUUUAGAGGCACCGACGCCCGCCGCUGAAGUUUACGGACGCUGGCGAGGUAGAGCAUGUAUGAUGGGACCCGAAAGAUGGUGAACUAUGCCUGCAUAGGGUGAAGCCAGGGGAAACUCUGGUGGAGGCUCGUAGCGAUUCUGACGUGCAAAUCGAUCGUCAAAUGUGGGUAUAGGGGCGAAAGACUAAUCGAACCAUCUAAUGGCUGGUUCCUGCC
rnacentral:rRNA from 1 species